rnacentral:rRNA from 1 species
UUACGGGAGGCAGCAGUCGAGAAUUUUUCUCAAUGGGGGAAACCCUGAAGGAGCGACGCCGCGUGGAGGAUGAAGGUCUUCGGAUUGUAAACUCCUGUCAUUUGGGAACAAUGCCCCGAUAUUAACUGUAUCGGGGUUGAUAGUACCAGAAGAGGAAGAGACGGCUAACUCUGUGCCAGCAGCCGCGGUAAUACAGAGGUCUCAAGCGUUGUUCGGAUUCAUUGGGCGUAAAGGGUGCGUAGGCGGCGCGGUAAGUCGGGUGUGAAAUCUCGGGGCUUAACUCCGAAACUGCAUUCGAUACUGCCGUGCUUGAGGACUGGAGAGGAGACUGGAAUUUACGGUGUAGCGGUGAAAUGCGUAGAUAUCGUAAGGAAGACCAGUGGCGAAGGCGGGUCUCUGGACAGUUCCUGACGCUGAGGCACGAAGGUCAGGGGAGCAAACGGGCUUAGAUACCCUGGUAGC